rnacentral:rRNA from 1 species
GAUGAACGCUGGCGGCGUGCCUAAUACAUGCAAGUCGAGCGAACGGACGAGAAGCUUGCUUCUCUGAUGUUAGCGGCGGACGGGUGAGUAACACGUGGAUAACCUACCUAUAAGACUGGGAUAACUUCGGGAAACCGGAGCUAAUACCGGAUAAUAUUUUGAACCGCAUGGUUCAAAAGUAAAAGACGGUCUUGCUGUCACUUAUAGAUGGAUCCGCGCUGCAUUAGCUAGUUGGUAAGGUAACGGCUUACCAAGGCAACGAUGCAUAGCCGACCUGAGAGGGUGAUCGGCCACACUGGAACUGAGCCACGGUCCAGACUCCUACGGGAGGCAGCAGUAGGGAAUCUUCCGCAAUGGGCGAAAGCCUGACGGAGCAACGCCGCGUGAGUGAUGAAGGUCUUCGGAUCGUAAAACUCUGUUAAUAGGGAAGAACAUAUGUGUAAGUAACUGUGCACAUCUUGACGGUACCUAAUCAGAAAGCCACGGCUAACUACGUG